rnacentral:rRNA from 2 species
AGGUGUGAUCAUACCAGCACUAUUGCAUUGUAUCCCAUCAGGACUCUGCAGUUAAGCGUGCUUGGGCGAGAGUAGUAUUAGGAUGGGUGACCUCUUGAGAUGUCCUCGUGUUGCACCUU